rnacentral:rRNA from 1 species
AGGAUGAAUGCUGGCGGCGUGGAUGAGUCAUGCAAGUCAAGGGGCCGCAAGGCACCGGCAGACGAGGUAGUAAUACGCAGGUACGCACCGAAGAGUCUGGCACAGCUCGUCGAAAGACGGGGUAAUUCCAGAUGGCGUGGUGACACUAAAGGAGUAAUCCGC